UGUUUGUUUAAGGGGAUAAAUGAAAAGGAAUAGGGAUUUGGGGAAAGGGAUAUUAAAAUCCUAUGUUUGUUUCUAGGGAUUGGGAUUAGAGAGAGAGAUGGGACAAGGAUUAAAUCACCUCUUAUCACUCAAUUUCUAUACCUAGGGGGGUUGGAAUAAGAAUGAGGGAUAAAGAUUAUAAUUAAAAUGACAGUUAUACCAUUAAUGAAAAGAAAAAAAAAAUAAAGGAGAAAGAUAGGGUUAGUAAGGGUAUAUAUGUAACUUUGUUGCUUAUUCUACUUUUAUCCUAACUUACACCAAACAAAGGAUAACACUUUAUUUAAUCCCCAUCCCACCCAAAAUUCUCUAUCCUUAUCCUAUCCUCUUAUCCUUCUUAUCCCUAUCCCACGUACCAAACGCCCCGUAUAUUUCCUUUUCUGACACUUUCACUUUCUUUCCUCUUCACUUUCUCUCUUCUCAGCACUCAAAGGUCUCAUUAUUUUCAAUUAUGUUAUUGUUUUCGAUUAUGAUCAUUUUCUUCUCUUUUGAUCUUUGAGUUUUAAAUUUUAUGCAAUUUUCUUCAGAUUAUUGCUUCUUUUUUUUUGUUUUCCAGCAGUUCAAGAACUUCGAGCAAAUCCAUGAGGAAAUCGGAUUUGCUUAUUAUUCUAAUAAUGUAUGGUGACCUUGUAGCCUAUGGAAUAUAUUUCAAGCUUUAAUCCCACUAGCUUGAACC